AAGAGAGCUAUCCGUCGACA
rnacentral:miRNA from 3 species